rnacentral:lncRNA from 1 species
CAGCCACCUUAUCAGUGUCCGAAGCCAACACUCCAGCUAUUAACCCUCCUAAAUCUAUUGUACUCAAUGAGAACCCAGUAGCUACCUGUUCUUUACACUUCCAGUUGCUAACUCCUCUGCUCUUUACACGUUUCUUGCUGUAGAAGCCCUUUCAUGACAUCCAGUGACAAACUGACUUUCCUCAUUUCUCCAGCUUCCAAGUCCUGAUAGGCUUCUCCUUAGAAUAAGACCACCCCAGCAACCUGAUAUUGCAGAGUACCUUCAACUGCCCUUGCGAUCAGGUCCUUGAUGCUGAAUACCUCUGCCAAACAGAAGCCCCUACUACUCUUCUUGACUUCGGAUGAGAAAUAAUCAUUAAACUCAUUUAUGAGAUUGAAAUAAUACAAAAACCGGAUUUUAAUGAUACCUCAAGGAGAUUGGACCUCAUGCAGACCUGGCUACCUGACCCAUGGAAAAAGCCAGAUGUAAGUAUUUGAACCAUUUUGUUGCACAGAGCGUCAUCAAAUGCAUCCUUGGUGUUUUCGAAGCAACAGAACAUACCUGGGCCAGGUGUUUCCUAGGAAAAGCUGAAGAUUGGCAAUUUUGAUACUUUGCUUCUCUUAGAAGUUUGUUCCACUCUUGACACACAAUAAACAGCCUAUUUUUCACUGCUCUU